UACGGAGGGUGCGAGCGUUGUCCGGAAUUAUUGGGCGUAAAGAGCUUGUAGGCGGUUUGUCGCGUCUGCAGUGAAAAUUCGAGGCUCAACCUCGAACUUGCGGUGGGUACGGGCAGACUAGAGUGUGGUAGGGGAGACUGGAAUUCCUGGUGUAGCGGUGAAAUGCGCAGAUAUCAGGAGGAACACCGAUGGCGAAGGCAGGUCUCUGGGCCACUACUGACGCUGAGAAGCGAAAGCAUGGGGAGCGAACAGG
rnacentral:rRNA from 1 species